AUUAUAUUGACAGAUUAGUGUGUUAGAUUUAGAUUCUUAUAAAGUGAGUAUUUCACAUAUAAUA
rnacentral:tRNA from 1 species